UACGUAGGGUGCAAGCGUUGUCCGGAAUUAUUGGGCGUAAAGAGCUCGUAGGCGGUUUGUCGCGUCUGCUGUGAAAACCUAAGGCUCAACCUUGGGCUUGCAGUGGGUACGGGCAGACUAGAGUGCGGUAGGGGUGACUGGAAUUCCUGGUGUAGCGGUGGAAUGCGCAGAUAUCAGGAGGAACACCGAUGGCGAAAGCAGGUCACUGGGCCGCAACUGACGCUGAGGAGCGAAAGCAUGGGGAGCGAACAGG
rnacentral:rRNA from 1 species